UUGGGGGGAGCCUUUAAAAAGGAACAUAAAAGAGAGACAGCUGGGGGGCUAAAAUAGAUCUCCUUCCCCCAUUCUCCUCCUCAAGCAUGUCUCUCUCUCUCUAUCUCCCUCUCCCUCUCUGUGUGUGUUCUCGUCUCUCUCUCUCUCUCCCUCUCUGUGUGUGUUCUCGUCUCUCUCUCUCUAUGUCCCUCUCCCUCUCUGUGUGUGUUCUCAUCUCUCUCUCUCUCUCUCUCUCCCUCUCUGUGUGUGUUCUCGUCUCUCUCUCUCUCCCUCUCCCUCUCUGUGUGUGUACUCGUUUCUCUCUCUCUCUCUCCCUCUCUGUGUGUUCUCGUCUCUCUCUCUCUCUCUCCCUCUCCCUCUCUGUGUGUGUACUCGUCUCUCUCUCUCUAUCUCCCUCUCCCUCUCUGUGUGUGUUCUCGUCUCUCUCUCUCUCUCUCUCUCCCUCUCUGUGUGUGUACUCGUCUCUCUCUCUCUCUCUCUCUCUCCCUCUCUGUGUGUUACUCGUCUCUCUCUCUCUCUCUCUCUCUCUAUCUCCCUCUCUCUGUCUGUUCUCUCCUUUUUUUCUCUGUUCUGUUGCUUUAAUUUACAAUAUUUGUUUGCCUUUUUUCGGUCUCUCAAUCUAUUUAAGGCCGCUCUCUGCCCCCCCUAUACUCUACCCCUGCCCCUCACACCCUGCCUCUCACACCCUGCCUCUCACACCCUGCCUGUUUAGCCCUGUGUCCUCUUUUGCCCUAAAAGAGCAUAUCUGCCCUCCUCCUCUCCUCUGGUCCUCACUCUCACCAUGGAGGGGCGACUCCAAAAGAGAACAGGGCCAAUGAAGGUGGACUGCAGCGGUGGUUGCAAUUAGCCUGGGACUGAAGAGUGCACAUUCAGCCAGAUCAAUUAGCCUGGGAUUGAAGAGUGCACAUUCAGCCAGAUCAAUUAGCCUGGGAUUGAAGAGUGCACAUUCAGCCAGAUCAAUUAGCCUGGGAUUGAAGAGUGCACAUUCAGCCAGAUCAAUUAGCCUGGGACUGAAGAGUGCAUAUUCAGCCAGAUCAAUUAGCCUGGGAUUGAAGAGCGCAC
rnacentral:lncRNA from 1 species